UGGGGAAUAUUGCACAAUGGGGGAAACCCUGAUGCAGCGACGCCGCGUGAACGAAGAAGGUAUUCGUAUCGUAAAGUUCUGUUCUAUGGGAAGAUAAUGACAGUACCAUAGAAGAAAGCUCCGGCUAAAUACGUGCCAGCAGCCGCGGUAAUACGUAUGGAGCGAGCGUUGUCCGGAAUUAUUGGGCGUAAAGGGUACGCAGGCGGUUUAAUAAGUCGAAUGUUAAAGAUCGGGGCUCAACCCCGUAAAGCAUUGGAAACUGAUAAACUUGAGUAGUGGAGAGGAAAGUGGAAUUCCUAGUGUAGUGGUGAAAUACGUAGAUAUUAGGAGGAAUACCAGUAGGGAAGGCGACUUUCUGGACACAAACUGACGCUGAGGUACGAAAGCGUGGGGAGCAAACAGG
rnacentral:rRNA from 1 species